rnacentral:rRNA from 1 species
AACGAACGCUGGCGGCAGGCUUAACACAUGCAAGUCGAACGCCCCGCAAGGGGAGUGGCAGACGGGUGAGUAACGCGUGGGAACAUACCCUUUCCUGCGGAAUAGCUCCGGGAAACUGGAAUUAAUACCGCAUACGCCCUACGUGGGAAAGAUUUAUCGGGGAAGGAUUGGCCCGCGUUGGAUUAGCUAGUUGGUGGGGUAAAGGCCUACCAAGGCGACGAUCCAUAGCUGUUCUGAGAGGAUGAUCAGCCACAUUGGGACUGAGACACGGCCCAAACUCCUACGGGAGGCAGCAGUGGGGGAUAUUGGACAAUGGGCGCAAGCCUGAUCCAGCCAUGCCGCGUGAGUGAUGAAGGCCUUAGGGUUGUAAAGCUCUUUCACCGAUGAAGAUAAUGACGGUAGUCGGAGAAGAAGCCCCGGCUAACUUCGUG